rnacentral:rRNA from 1 species
GACGAACGCUGGCGGCGUGCUUAACACAUGCAAGUCGAGCGGAAAGGCCCUUUCGGGGGUACUCGAGCGGCGAACGGGUGAGUAACACGUGAGUAAUCUGCCCUGCGCUCUGGGAUAGCCACCGGAAACGGUGAUUAAUACCGGAUAGGACCACUUCACGCAUGUGAUGGUGGUGGAAAGUUUUUUCGGCGCAGGAUGUGCUCGCGGCCUAUCAGCUUGUUGGUGAGGUAACGGCUCACCAAGGCUUUGACGGGUAACUGGCCUGAGAGGGUGACCGGUCACACUGGGACUGAGACACGGCCCAGACUCCUACGGGAGGCAGCAGUGGGGAAUAUUGGACAAUGGGCGGAAGCCUGAUCCAGCAACGCCGCGUGAGGGAUGACGGCCUUCGGGUUGUAAACCUCUUUCAGUACCGACGAAGCGAAAGUGACGGUAGGUACAGAAGAAGGACCGGCCAACUACGUGCCAGCAGCCGCGGUAAUACGUAGGGUCCGAGCGUUGUCCGGAAUUAUUGGGCGUAAAGGGCUCGUAGGCGGUUUGUCGCGUCGGGAGUGAAAACACCGGGCUUAACUCGGUGCUUGCUUUCGAUACGGGCAGACUAGAGGUAUGCAGGGGAGAAUGGAAUUCCUGGUGUAGCGGUGAAAUGCGCAGAUAUCAGGAGGAACACCGGUGGCGAAGGCGGUUCUCUGGGCAUUACCUGACGCUGAGGAGCGAAAGUGUGGGGAGCGA